UACAGAGGUCCCGAGCGUUGUUCGGAUUUAUUGGGCGUAAAGGGUGCGUAGGCGGCGGAGUAAGUUGGGUGUGAAAUCCCGAGGCUUAACCUCGGAAUGGCAUUCAAUACUGCUUCGCUUGAGUACUGGAGAGGAGGCUGGAAUUUACGGUGUAGCAGUGAAAUGCGUAGAUAUCGUAAGGAAGGCCGGUGGCGAAAGCGAGCCUCUGGACAGUUACUGACGCUGAUGCACGAAGGCCAGGGGAGCAAACGGG
rnacentral:rRNA from 1 species